rnacentral:tRNA from 2 species
GGCUCGGUAGCUCAGCUGGUUAGAGCGCUGGCCUGUCACGCCAGAGGUCGAGGGUUCGAGCCCCUUCCGAGUCGCCA